GGCGAUAUGGCCGAGCGGUCUAAGGCGCUAGAAUCAGGAUUUAAACAUAUCCUACAUAUCUAGUCCGGAAGGGCGUGGGUUCGAAUCCCACUGUCGUCA